rnacentral:rRNA from 1 species
UACGGAGGGUGCAAGCGUUAUCCGGAUUCACUGGGUUUAAAGGGUGCGUAGGCGGGGAUAUAAGUCAGUGGUGAAAGCUCCGAGCUUAACUUGGAAACUGCCAUUGAUACUGUAUAUCUUGAAUGUCGUUGAGGUUAGCGGAAUGUUGCAUGUAGCGGUGAAAUGCUUAGAUAUGUUACAGAACACCAAUUGUGAAGACAGCUAACUAAGCGAUGAUUGACGCUGAGGCACGAAAGCGUGGGGAGCAAACAGG